CCUUGUCCUGGCAGGAAGCCUCUGCGCUUCCGUCUCCUUCUCCAGUGUGACCUGACAACUCCCCACCGCACUACAAGUUCAUCCGCUUUCAGAGAAAGAUUAAAAAAAAAAAUGCUUUCCUGGUUUUAGCAGAAAGAUAUUGAAUAAUAUGUGCAAACUUAAACUCUUGAGACUAGGCAGUUCAGCAGGUAAGAGCACUGGCUGCUCUUCCAGAGGACCCAGGCUUGAUUCUUGGCACCCACGCGGUGGCUACCAUCAUCUGUAACUCAGGUUCCAGGGGAUCUAACACACUUCUCUGGUGUGAUAGUUUCCAGGUUGUCUAAGAUGUGACAGUCUCCCGUAAUAGUUAGACAUAUGAUGCAUAGACAUACAUGCAAUCAAAACAUCUUCACGCUAAAAAAAAAUAACAACACACAAACCAAUAGAAGUAAAUGAAAAUCGAGUGCUCACGAUGCUAGCAGAGUUGGAGGCGUUCUUCUAUCAAGAGGCCACCAUCGGAUGGGAGUCCUGAACCUUAUACUCCGCCAUGAGCACACCAUACCAGAAACACAGAUGAACUCGAUUUGUGUCUGUCCGCAAUGUCAGACUUUGUUGGAGAACAAUACAUUCACAGGGUUCAGUGGUUUCAACAGAAGACAUUUGCCGAACAAGCCUGCCUACGGUUGCCAUCUGUCCAAGGUCACCAAGGUGGUGGGAUUACACAGCAAGUGGCUGACGUCCCCAGACCCCACAGCACCCAGGAAGAGCUCGGUUCAUGGACACAGGAGCUGACAGAGCCCAAGGCAAACAUUUAGGCCGUGAUCUGCAUCCAUGCUGUGUCUCGUCACGACCUUCAGCUUAAGACGCAUCUGUCGGGCACAGAGAGUUUUCAACACAGCGUUUCCUACGGGACGUGGCUUCCCAGCACCAUUCAGGGACUCGGUUCCUUACCUGAGCUUGCCAUGGAGUCUUCAAAGAAGACAGCGAGGGAUACACACAUUCAUGUAAAGAGGUCCCAAGGGCAGAAUAAGUUCAAAGAGCAAGUAAAUUUGUCGAAAGCAUGUGUAAGCCAUUAUCCAACGUCAUCAGUCAUGAAUGUGGUCCAGCUCUUAUCUGUCAUGUGGAGUGCAAAAUCCUGGUGCAGUUGUUUAUCGACAACAAGCGGUUCUCUGUUGUCACUAUUUUAUCAUCUUGCUUUAACAUCAAGUGCUCUCAAACACACCACGCUCUCAUUUCCUCCAGUCUUCUGCUUCUAAUGGCCUACCAGCUCAUGUCUCCUGCCUGCCUGCCUGUCUUAGGAACUCAUGUAGCUACCGACUUCUGCCAAGCUGCCAUGGGGGCCAUCUCUUUCCAUGACAUUUCUUAGACCCCCGAAGCAAGACAGAACAUUUACCCGUUUGUUUAUUUGCCGUAAAGUCAACUUGCGGUGCCGUAUGCAAGAAAAAACAUUUAGAGAUCCAAGAUUUGCACACGGGAAGCUGAGGAGCUUUCAGAUGUUCUAAGUGUGCUCGGGAGCAAGAAACCAAGUCUUGGAAAUAUAUGGUGUUUGGGUGUGGUGAUAAGAAGAGACAGGAGGAAGGAUGGUGUUCAUAUUGAAGCCUGCAAUUACAGCAGUGUGCCUACCCUGGAGACCAGUCCGAGAAGCAUGCAAUAAAGGGGUAUGUUAUUAAACUAGCUACCUGCUGGGUAAUUGGAGUUCAUAUAUCUGGGAAAAUUCUAGAAGCUCAUAGAAAACAAGUAUCUUAGCAUCACCCACCUAAAGUUGAGUGAAGGAUGCUGGAAUAGGGGAGGGAGCAUCAAUAGCACCAAUGUCCUAGAAAUUUGUGUCCUGGAAGGGAUGAGAGAAAGUCCUCCAGCCAAGGAAGGCAGGUGGCCCUGUUGGAAGAUCCCUGGAGAGCACUUCAAGGGGCAAAGGGGCGUAGAUGUAGCAGCCUUCCCUGUGGAACUGUGUUCUCCUGUCCCUGAAGCGAAGUUCACCCCAGAAGGCUGAGCAGUGGCCCCCACACCCAGCUUAUAAAAAUAUCCACGUAGUUUUCUAGAGUGUUGUACCAGUUUCCUAGGGAUGUUACUAGGAACGGCUUCACAAAGCACCACAGCCCUGGUGACUUAACUGGCACUGAUUUUUCUCAAAACCAGGUCUCUUAAUGUCCGAGACUAAGGCAUCAGCAGGGUGUUGCCUCUGAGUCCUUCCUCCUUGGUCUACAUGUGGGCAUCUUCCUCCGGCGUCUCACAGGGGCGUCCUCCCCCCCCCCCGUGUCUGUGCAUCCUAAUCUCUCCUUUGUAGAAGUGCCAAGGUUACAGUAAAUUAGGGCCCACCCAGAUGACCUCAUUUUGUCUUAGUUGAACAUCCAUCUCCAAAUAAAGCACGAGCUUAGGACUUCAGCAAGAAAGUUUGCAAGGUAUACAGUUCAGUCGGUAACACACACAGUUCAAAAUGGAGCUGUUGAGUGUAUACACUUCCUCUUUUAAUAAAUUAGCCAAAUUGUCACCGGAGAGUCAUACAGCAUGUAACCACAAAGACAUCUCUCUGGCAUAAGGGUUAUUUGGAGCUAACGUCACUUUAGAAAAUGUUCUGAGAGGAAAACUUGGGGUAUUUUUCCUCCUGAGAGCUGGAGAUAAAGCCCAGGGAAGCUGUCUUCUCUGUAUGAAUGAAGAAACCUUCUUAUCACCAGAAACAGGACUGGGAGAAUUCUGGCCAAAGAAUCUCACUAAAAUAGCCUUUCAACAUGAAGCUAGGAGGGGGACCAGUUGUGAAGAAGUCAGCAGGGGUAGGAAAGGAAUCCAAGAGGGUGGAGGUGUGAAUGAGAUCAAAAUGCAGUGUAUAUUUAUUGAAAUGUUUCAGUAUGCUAGAAAUUGGAAAUAAAGCAGACAUGGUCCCUGACUUUGUGGAGCUAAUGUAGUAGAACAAACAAAAAACGAUACAUAGAUAAGUAAGUAAAUGACUGUAAUAAUUUCCCAUUUCUGGAACAUUGAAGAUUUUUAAUAAAACAGUUAUAGCACCUGGAAGUGUUAUACAUGCAUAA